AGAGGACUCAUAUCAAGAUGGACUCAAGCAUGAAAGGCUAACGGGUCAAGAGGAGGCAAGGAAGUGGAUACGGACACGGAUGCAUAAGGUUGUACGAAUCACGGGCGGUUAUCACGAGCAAUAGAGAUCGAAGACCGAGUCAUAAGAUAGAUUGUACGGGAAUAAUUGAGUAUGUACUUUAGUAAGCAGGACUUACACUUUGUUUUUGUAAAAGAUACAUAUUAAAAUGAACUUUCAAGUAGGUCAAGAUGUUUGUAAUGAAAGAAAUUUUAUGGCA